rnacentral:rRNA from 1 species
AACGAACGCUGGCGGCAGGCUUAACACAUGCAAGUCGAACGCCCCGCAAGGGGAGUGGCAGACGGGUGAGUAACGCGUGGGAAUCUACCCAGAUCUACGGAACAACAGUUGGAAACGACUGCUAAUACCGUAUACGCCCUGCGGGGGAAAGAUUUAUCGGAUUUGGAUGAGCCCGCGUAAGAUUAGCUAGUUGGUGGGGUAAUGGCCUACCAAGGCGACGAUCUUUAGCUGGUCUGAGAGGAUGAUCAGCCACACUGGGACUGAGACACGGCCCAGACUCCUACGGGAGGCAGCAGUGGGGAAUAUUGGACAAUGGGCGCAAGCCUGAUCCAGCCAUGCCGCGUGAGUGAUGAAGGCCUUAGGGUUGUAAAGCUCUUUCAGUAGGGAAGAUAAUGACGGUACCUACAGAAGAAGCCCCGGCUAACUUCGUGCCAGCCGCCGCCGUAAUAC